rnacentral:lncRNA from 1 species
CAGUGGGAAAACCUGCUAUACAUGCAAACCAUCAAAGACCAUCUCAAAUAUCAGACAUGCAUUCCAUCAAGCAGGGAUAAUGUCAUGCAAAUGGCUUCCUUGCCCUUAUUAGCACACGGUGACCUGAUCAGUUGAUACCUUUGUGUUUCUUGAACUUGAAUAAUUCCACCAUAUUCAAAUCUGUGUGCAAGGCGAUGAGUUUUGCAACCCUGCAGAGAUAUACCAACUGCCGAUGUGAUACCGACUUCUGCAGUAUGGAGUAUUAGGAAAGCCUCCAAAUUUGGAGCAUCCUGCAAACACAAUACUUGGGGCUCCCUUUUUCUAGGCGUAGACCAACGAAGGUAGAUCUCCUAGCCAUUGGUUGAUAAUGUCACAUGACAACUCUUAUGGUAGAUGACAGCCCAGCUAUCCUGAAAUAGUCACAUAACCUUGGACAAAGCAGUCAUUGCCUCAAUUUCGAUUUAUCUCUUCAUUGCAAUUAACCUGCUGACUUGCGUCAUAAAAGAAAUAGACAAGAUAAGAAUAUACUUUCUCUAGAAGGGAAGCAGGGAGGAAUAGCUAGGUGGACAUUAUAGUGAGAUGUGAAUGAUUAAGAUGGGAUUUGCCCGUCCUAAUUAGA